UCCAGAUCCCCGACCCCCGUGAGCUCCGGCCCUGCGUGCCCGCUAUUUUGGUUCCAUCUCUUCUGCAUAUUUAUGCUUGCCUGUCACAUUCCCUGGCCUCUGAGUGUCCUUUGGCAGUUUCCAAAGCACUUGGGCUAGAAGGAGCUUGGGGAGCUUCACAACAGGUGGGGGCGCGCAGGGGAGGGGCCGCGGCCGGACCAGCAGAGCGCUUCAAGGGCUGGCGCUGGGACGGGCUUUCCACACUGUCUUUAGGGACUGGGGUUAGCAGACAGCCCUUGGCCACCACUGUGUCCUUACUCUGUCGCUUUACUUGGGGUUGGACCUCCCUUUCCAGCUCUGGCGUGUGACCCCGCACCGAGCGUGGUGUCAAGACCACCACCAGCUGGGGCCGUGGGAGCGAAGGUGCCCCAGGCUCGGGGAAGAUGCGGACCUUUUACCCGCUCCGCAAGUGAUUGUUGCGCGCUCUGGUGAGGGGACAGUGGUACCGCGAUUUCCCAUGUGCCAGCUUUGGGACUCAGAUGUGCUUUUGUGUCUCUUUGAUUAGCAAAAGCAAAACGAAUUCCUCCCCGAACACUAAGCUUCCUGGAAACUUCCCUAGACCUAAACUUGAGAACCGCAUAUAAACGAACCUUGAGGGUUCUGUUGUCGGUAGCGGGUUACCUGAUUGCAAACUGAGCAAGUUCAAAACGGAGUGGGCUGCUUUGGGCUGCACAGCCGCCUGGCAUUGUGACAGCUGAGCAGGAGGCAGAGGUGAGAGCCCAAGAUGGAUUAAAAAUGCCCCAGCAGCUAGGAGCCCAGCCUCCUUGAAAGGAGGAACAUUCGGUGCAGGCGUCGGAACCUUAUCCUUUAUGAAACGGGACAGCUCACAGGAUUACAUUUCUAAGCCAAUCCUGUGAUGAUCCUCCAUGAAAUUCUCUAUUUUCGUUGCAUGUGGUCAAAACUGAGCCUCACUGAAACAAUUGAAAACAAAUAUUCUCGACAAAUCUUAAGAAUCGUUUUGAAAAUCAAAAGGUAUGGAAAGUGUUGUGACUUCUUUCUAAGCUUUAUUCAGCCCAAAUUCUAUUAUUCUCUGAUCUUUUAUGGUGUAAAAUCAUACCCAUUCCAUUAUGUAUUGAUUGCAAAGAGGGAA